AUCUCUGUCUGGAGAUCCAUCUUCUGUGCUGUUUCCUCUGUGAACCUAGGUCCUCAGAGACAGUUUCAUCUAAAAGAGGGCAACCCAAGACAGCAUUCAGUAUGGCCUGUAGACGCCUGGAUGCAGGAUACCCUAAUUGUAAUUGAAAUUUUAAAAAGAAAAAGGGAGAGAAAUUCAAGUAAAUUAAAAAUGUGUGAUACAUCAUGAAGUGGAGCUCAUAUGCGGUAAAGGCAUUGCUCAACAAGGUUGCAGAAGACAAAUGUAACAGCUGUUACCUAAAUCAUCUGAAAUAUACUCACAGUGCACAUGGCAAAGUUCCAAAGAUAAGCCAGAUGCAGUGCUGGAGCUAAACACCGAUGCAACUCUUACUGAACAAGCUCUACCAUUUUGAGUUUCCAAAGACUUUUUAGCAUCUGUAGACAUACAUGGCAUCCAAAUGAGUUUUUUAAGGAUUAACAUCUGUUUAAGAAAUUGAAGCUGAUUACUAUUUAUGAUGAUUUAUUUUAAUAAGUUCUCCAUGCUCGUGAUGGUAUGUAUCGUGUCACAUAUUAAUACUAAUGCAACAGCUAUAAGGAUGAUGUUGGAUAAAGGCAGACUUGAUUAGUAUCACAGACAUGGCAUUUUGGUCUUUCUAUGUGCUUCCAUUUAAACUUGAUACACGCUACAGAUGUGCUUCCAUCAGAUUUCUUAUGUGCAUCCUAAGGCCUCUUGUAAAUGUGGCCCUUCAUGUCAACAUUCUUUUUUACUUUGAAGCUACUUUGCAAAGGCAUGUAGUCAGAAUAGUUCAAGGCUAGAAACUAACAGGAAUAAAAAUGGAUCCGAGAUCCUUUCCAAU
ensembl:lncRNA